GACGAACGCUGGCGGCGUGCUUAACACAUGCAAGUCGAACGGAAAGGCCCUGCUUUUGUGGGGUGCUCGAGUGGCGAACGGGUGAGUAACACGUGUGUAACCUGCCCUUGACUUUGGGAUAACUUCAGGAAACUGGGGCUAAUACCGGAUAGGAGCUCCUGCUGCAUGGUGGGGGUUGGAAAGUUUCGGCGGUUGGGGAUGGAUUCGCGGCUUAUCAGCUUGUUGGUGGGGUAGUGGCUUACCAAGGCUUUGACGGGUAGCCGGCCUGAGAGGGUGACCGGCCACAUUGGGACUGAGAUACGGCCCAGACUCCUACGGGAGGCAGCAGUGGGGAAUAUUGCACAAUGGGCGGAAGCCUGAUGCAGCAACGCCGCGUGCGGGAUGACGGCCUUCGGGUUGUAAACCGCUUUCGCCUGUGACGAAGCGUGAGUGACGGUAAUGGGUAAAGAAGCACCGGCUAACUACGUG
rnacentral:rRNA from 1 species